rnacentral:miRNA from 1 species
UCACCGGGUGUUCUGCGGUCAG